rnacentral:rRNA from 1 species
CGAAAGGGUGACGAAGCGACGCCGCGUGUGGGAAGAAGGCCUUCGGGUUGUAAACCACUGUCAGGAGUUAAGAAGUGUAAGGGUGCUAAUAGUAUCCUUACUUGACUAAGGCUCCAGAGGAAGCCACGGCUAACCCUGUGCCAGCAGCCGCGGUAAUACAGAGGUGGCAAGCGUUGUUCGGAAUUAUUGGGCGUAAAGAGCACGUAGGCGGUUCUGCAAGUCGGCUGUGAAAGCCUUCCGCUCAACGGAAGAACAGCAGUUGAUACUACAGGACUAGAGUGCGGGAGGGGAGAGUGGAACUUCUGGUGGAGCGGUGAAAUGCGUAGAUAUCAGAAGGAACGCCGGCGGCGAAAGCGACUCUCUGGCCCGUAACUGACGCUGAGUGUGCGAAAGCUAGGGGAGCAAACGGGAUUAGAUACCCCGGUAGUCCUAGCCGU